UACGUAGGGUGCAGGCGUUAAUCGGAAUUACUGGGCGUAAAGCGUGCGCAGGCGGUUUCUUAAGUCAGAUGUGAAAGCCCCGGGCUUAACCUGGGAACUGCGUUUGAAACUGGGAGACUUGAGUGUGGCAGAGGGGGGUGGAAUUCCACGUGUAGCAGUGAAAUGCGUAGAUAUCUGGAGGAACACCGGUGGCGAAGGCGGCAUCCUGGACCGACACUGACGCUGAGGCGCGAAAGCUAGGGGAGCAAACGGG
rnacentral:rRNA from 1 species